GGAAUAUUGCACAAUGGGCGGAAGCCUGAUGCAGCGACGCCGCGUGAGGGAUGACGGCCUUCGGGUUGUAAACCUCUUUCAGUAGGGAAGAAGCGAAAGUGACGGUACCUGCAGAAGAAGCACCGGCUAACUACGUGCCAGCAGCCGCGGUAAUACGUAGGGUGCGAGCGUUAUCCGGAAUUAUUGGGCGUAAAGAGCUCGUAGGCGGUUUGUCGCGUCUGUCGUGAAAGUCCGGGGCUUAACCCCGGAUCUGCGGUGGGUACGGGCAGACUAGAGUGCAGUAGGGGAGACUGGAAUUCCUGGUGUAGCGGUGGAAUGCGCAGAUAUCAGGAGGAACACCGAUGGCGAAGGCAGGUCUCUGGGCUGUAACUGACGCUGAGGAGCGAAAGCAUGGGGAGCGAACAG
rnacentral:rRNA from 1 species